GUGCUCGCUUUGGCAGCACAUACAUUAAAAUUGGGACAAUACAGAGAAGAUUAGCAUGGCUCCUGCGCAAGGAUGACACCAUUUGUCUUGAAUAUAGCCAAUUCAAG